UACCACAGGUCCCUGAACGCCCCUUC
rnacentral:piRNA from 1 species